UAUGAACGCUGGCGGCGUGCCUAAUACAUGCAAGUCGAGCGAACGGACGAGAAGCUUGCUUCUCUGAUGUUAGCGGCGGACGGGUGAGUAACACGUGGAUAACCUACCUAUAAGACUGGGAUAACUUAGGGAAACCGGAGCUAAUACCGGAUAAUAUUUUGAACCGCAUUGUUCAAAAGUGAAAGACGGUCUUGCUGUCACUUAUAGAUGGAUCCGCGCUGCAUUAGCUAGUUGGUAAGGUAACGGCUUACCAAGGCAACGAUGCAUAGCCGACCUGAGAGGGUGAUCGGCCACACUGGAACUGAGACACGGUCCAGACUCCUACGGGAGGCAGCAGUAGGGAAUCUUCCGCAAUGGGCGAAAGCCUGACGGAGCAACGCCGCGUGAGUGAUGAAGGUCUUCGGAUCGUAAAACUCUGUUAUUAGGGAAGAACAUAUGUGUAAGUAACUGUGCACAUCUUGACGGUACCUAAUCAGAAAGCCACGGCUAACUACGUG
rnacentral:rRNA from 1 species